rnacentral:rRNA from 1 species
GCCUACGGGGGGCAGCAGUAGGGAAUCUUCCACAAUGGGCGAAAGCCUGAUGGAGCAACGCCGCGUGGGUGAAGAAGGUCUUCGGAUCGUAAAACCCUGUUGUUAGGGAAGAAAGUGCGUGAGAGUAACUGUUCACGUUUCGACGGUAUCUAACCAGAAAGCCACGGCUAACUACGUGCCAGCAGCCGCGGUAAUACGUAGGUGGCAAGCGUUAUCCGGAUUUAUUGGGCGUAAAGGGAACGCAGGCGGUCUUUUAAGUCUGAUGUGAAAGCCUUCGGCUUAACCGGAGUAGUGCAUUGGAAACU